CUAUUACAACUGCUCUGCCAUGGUAAGCAAGGCAGCUCGCCAGGAGAAGCGGUUUCAGGACUAUAAUGAGAGGUGCACUUUCCAUCACCAGGCGCGGGAGUUUGCUGUGAACUUGCGGAACCGGGUGUCUGCCAUCCAUGAAGUGCCCCCGCCCAGAUCCUUCACCUUCCUCAAUGAUGCCUGCCAGGGACUGGAGCAGGCUCGGAAGGUGGUAGCGGGUGGGGGAAGAGAGCAGGGGAGGGGUGUGCCAAAUGGGUCUGGGGGGCUUGGCUGCUUUCAUCGGACUUGCCUGGAUGAAGGGAAUGAGGAGAGGGCAGGCGGGAGAGCUGAUGGGAGCCCCUGCAGGUGCUGGCCUACGCCUGCGUGUACAGCUUCUACAGCCAGGACACAGAGUACAUGGAUGUGGUGGAGCAGCAGACAGAGAACCUGGAGCUGCACACCAAUGCCCUGCAGAUCCUCCUGGGUGAGCCACCCCUGCCAGCCAGGCCCUCCUCCUGCCUCCUCUCCUCUGCUGCACAGCCUGGUCCCUCCCAGACAGGUCAAGCGGCACCCUUACCUUCCCUC
rnacentral:sRNA from 1 species